UUUAGUUUGGUUACUUAACAGCUGGCUUAGCUUUUUUAAUUAAGUUUUUAAUUAUUAAUUGAUAGAUUGAUAAUGAUUCACUCUCUUUAAUUUAUUUGCUCUUUUCUCAAAAAUUGUGCUCAGUUUAACUAUGUUGUAAUUGUGUGUCAUUUUAUGGUUUAUUGUUACCAAGUUAUCAACAGUUUAGAAGUAAAGUUAAGAACAAGAACGGGUUAACUCAACGGAUUUUUGGCUUGAAGUUGACGUGUAUUGCUCUGAUUAUCAAUCAUAAAUAUGGUUAAACAUCAAGUGGAUCGUUAAUAUGGCCACAGAUAUUUAAGACAGAAAGGGGAAAAAAUUUCACCAGAAAUAUGAUGUUAAUGCUAUUUACGAGGACAAAAUGAUUUUCAUUUAGCUGGUUACCAUUAAUUUGAAUUGACUCCCUAAUGAGAUCCCAUUUCACGGUCUCAUCGAGUCUCACUUAAUACUAUUCAAUUCUCACAAGGAACUACGCAUUUUUCACUCAAUUUGGCACCUCAGGUUUACCUAUUUACUCCAACAAAUACCUCAGUUAAUUUUCAAUUUAUUACCAUUUUUCUCAAUUACCUUUAUAUUAGGAGCCAUUGUGAACGAUAUAUUGUUUGGAUAUACGUUAUGUGCAUUUAUUGUAUUCAAUUAUUCAAUUAAUGUGAGUCUCUCAACACACGAAAAGGCAGCAAUUUUCAUUUUACCUCUUCUCUUCAUCAUUUGAUUCAAUUUUACUGCAAAUGAUGGUAAAAGAGGAAAACAGAUGCAAAAAAACGAGACUUAACUUUGAUGAGAAAUUACAAGUUUCAUUUUAUUGGCAAGUAAUUAACAUCAAGUUUAACAUUUGAUUAAAUUUCAUUUAGUAUAUGUUUUAA